CUGAAAUCUCGGCCUUUGAAAACGACAACUACGUCAUAUCGUUAAUAGAACAAGAAAUAUGCUAUCGUGCUAAGCUAUUCAUCGGAUCCCGGUCUUCAGGGUGGAGCUCCAUUGUGUCGUUGCAGCGAAAUGCCACUAACAAAGAAACUAUGUUUAUCCAGGACUUUUCUGAUAUAGGAAUGCGAAUAUAACGACACAUGUAGAAGAUGUGUGAAGUGCAUUAUGACAAUAUAUGUUUAAAUGUAUAAGAUAUGAGUCACAGAUCAAUUUGUUUCACGCUCUGAUUGAAGAUGGCCGAAUGGCGGCCAUUUUUGUGCUGAAAAAUCAUCGAAAUCAAGCAGUUGUGGCAUUCCGGAACCGGAUCUCGGCUGUUUACAGAUGGAUUUUGUUCACACUUGGUACAUUUUGUCUUACUUAAUGCUUUCCCAG